rnacentral:rRNA from 1 species
UACGUAGGGGGCAAGCGUUGUCCGGAUUUAUUGGGCGUAAAGGGCGCGUAGGCGGCCUGGCAAGUGGAAGGUGAAAUCCCUCGGCUUAACCGAGGAACUGCCCUCCAAACUGCUUGGCUUGAGACCGGGAGAGGUGAGUGGAAUUCCCAGUGUAGCGGUGAAAUGCGUAGAUAUUGGGAGGAACACCAGUGGCGAAGGCGGCUCACUGGACCGGUACUGACGCUGAUGCGCGAAAGCGUGGGGAGCAAACGGG